rnacentral:rRNA from 1 species
UACGGGGGGAGCGAGCGUUGUUCGGAUUUACUGGGCGUAAAGGGCGCGUAGGCGGGUCAUCAAGUCAGAUGUGAAACCCGGCGGCUCAACCGCCGGCCUGCAUCUGAAACUGGCGACCUUGAGUACGGGAGAGGAAAGUGGAAUUCCUGGUGUAGCGGUGAAAUGCGUAGAUAUCAGGAGGAACACCGGUGGCGAAGGCGGCUUUCUGGCCCGAUACUGACGCUGAGGCGCGAAGGCCGGGGGAGCAAACAGG